rnacentral:rRNA from 1 species
AUGGGCAAAUACUACACGUCGUACACAUCUAGAAAAAUUAGGCAAGUGAUUCUUAAUUUUGAUGGCUCAUUUGUGGCAGAAAAUGGUGCUGCGGGUGCCGGAAUGAUUCUAUGGGACCAUGAAGGGCAGGUUAUCUUUGCUGCCUGCAGAUGGCUGUUUGAUUGCGAGGGACCCCUGGAAGCAGAACUAGCAGCUUGUGAGGAAGGUCUCCGUCUAGCUCUGCAUUGGUCUCAAGCCCCGCUUCAGGUUGAGACGGACUGUGCCGAGAUCACCACCCUUGUAAAAGCUGGGUGGGGUGAUCGAUCCAGAAAUAUGCACCAAGUUACUGAGAUAGUGCAUCUGCUCAACGAACACCACACUGAAAUCCAUAAAAUUAGUCAUGGGCAAAAUAAAGCUGGGCAUGCAAUGGCAGCAAUUGGUCGUGGACAACAUCGCACAGCUUGUUGGCUUGCAAAUGCUCCCCAGGAGAUUAGCGUUAUCAUUACCGAUGAUUGUAGAACUGAUAUUGCUUAA